rnacentral:rRNA from 1 species
UUACACAUGCAAGUCGAACGGCAGCGGGGGAAAGCUUGCUUUCCUGCCGGCGAGUGUGCGAACGGGUGAGUAAUACAUCGGAACGUGCCCUGUAGUGGGGGAUAACUAGUCGAAAGAUUAGCUAAUACCGCAUACGACCUGAGGGUGAAAGUGGGGGACCGCAAGGCCUCAUGCUAUAGGAGCGGCCGAUGUCUGAUUAGCUAGUUGGUGGGGUAAAGGCCUACCAAGGCGACGAUCAGUAGCUGGUCUGAGAGGACGAUCAGCCACACUGGGACUGAGACACGGCCCAGACUCCUACGGGAGGCAGCAGUGGGGAAUUUUGGACAAUGGGCGAAAGCCUGAUCCAGCAAUGCCGCGUGUGUGAAGAAGGCCUUCGGGUUGUAAAGCACUUUUGUCCGGAAAGAAAUGGCUCUGGUUAAUACCCGGAGUUGAUGACGGUACCGGAAGAAUAAGGACCGGCUAACUACGUGCCAGCAGCCGCGGUAAUACGUAGGGUCCAAGCGUUAAUCGGAAUUACUGGGCGUAAAGCGUGCGCAGGCGGUUGUGCAAGACCGAUGUGAAAUCCCCGGGCUUAACCUGGGAAUUGCAUUGGUGACUGCACGGCUAGAGUGUGUCAGAGGGAGGUAGAAUUCCACGUGUAGCAGUGAAAUGCGUAGAGAUGUGGAGGAAUACCGAUGGCGAAGGCAGCCUCCUGGGAUAACACUGACGCUCAUGCACGAAAGCGUGGGGGAGCAAACAGGAUUAGAUACCCUGGUAGUCCACGCCCUAAACGAUGUCAACUAGUUGUUGGGGAUUCAUUUCCUUAGUAACGUAGCUAACGCGUGAAGUUGACCGCCUGGGGAGUACGGUCGCAAGAUUAAAAACUCAAAGGAAUUGACGGGGACCCGCACAAGCGGUGGG